GAUUAGCCAUGCAGUCUCAGUACAAGCCGAACUAAGGUGAAACCGCAAAAGGCUCAUUAAAUCAGUUAUGGUUCCUUGGAUCGUACAAUCCAUUACUUGGAUAACUGUGGUAAUUCUAGAGCUAAUACAUGCAAACAGAGUCCCGACCAGAAAUGGAAGGGACGCUUUUAUUAGAUCAAAACCAAUCGACGUCCGUCUUCCUCCGGGUCGACGGCGCCGUACUCCUUGGUGACUCUGAAUAACUUUUGGCAGAUCGCACGGUCUUCGAACCGGCGACGCAUCCUUCAAAUGUCUGCCUUAUCAACUGUCGAUGGUAGGUUCUGCGCCUACCAUGGUUGUAACGGGUAACGGGGAAUCAGGGUUCGAUUCCGGAGAGGGAGCCUGAGAAACGGCUACCACAUCCAAGGAAGGCAGCAGGCGCGCAAAUUACCCACUCCCGGCACGGGGAGGUAGUGACGAAAAAUAACGAUACGGGACUCAUCCGAGGCCCCGUAAUCGGAAUGAGUAUACUCUAAAUCCUUAUACGAGUAUCAAUUGGAGGGCAAGUCUGGUGCCAGCAGCCGCGGUAAUUCCAGCUCCAAUAGCGUAUAUUAAAGUUGUUGCGGUUAAAAAGCUCGUAGUUGGAUCUGUGUCCCGCACCGUCGGUUCACCGCCUGUCGGUGUUCAACUGGUGUGUAUGCGGGACGUCCUGCCGGUGGCGGUCCGGUUCCCCGUGGGUACGUAGGGGCGUCCUUGCUUACGCUUGCGUCGUCCCCGAAGGCCUGCGCGGUGUAUCCGGCCGCCUUUUCAAUCCCGUCGCGGUGCUCUUCACUGAGUGUCGAGGCGGGCCGGCACGUUUACUUUGAACAAAUUAGAGUGCUUUAAGCAGCCCUGUCCCGCCUGUAUGUUGUGUGCAUGGAAUAAUGGAAUAGGACCUCGGUUCUAUUUUGUUGGUUUUCGGAAUCUGAGGUAAUGAUCAAUGGGGACAGGCGGGGGCAUUCGUAUUGCGACGUUAGAGGUGAAAUUCUUGGAUCG
rnacentral:rRNA from 1 species